GGACUGUGGCUCAAUGGCAGGGCAUCUGCUCAGCACGCAGAUAGUCCCAGGUUCGAAUCCCGGUUAUCUCCA